UACGUAGGUGGCAAGCGUUAUCCGGAAUUAUUGGGCGUAAAGAGCGCGCAGGUGGUUGAUUAAGUCUGAUGUGAAAGCCCACGGCUUAACCGUGGAGGGUCAUUGGAAACUGGUGAACUUGAGUGCAGAAGAGGGAAGUGGAAUUCCAUGUGUAGCGGUGAAAUGCGUAGAGAUAUGGAGGAACACCAGUGGCGAAGGCGGCUUCCUGGUCUGUAACUGACACUGAGGCGCGAAAGCGUGGGGAGCAAACAGG
rnacentral:rRNA from 1 species